GACGAACGCUGGCGGCGUGCUUAACACAUGCAAGUCGAACGGACAGGCCCUGCUUUUGUGGGGUGCUCGUGUGGCGCACGGGUGUGUAACACGUGAGUAACCUGUCCUUGACUUUGGGAUAACUCCAGGAAACUGGGGCUAAUACCGGAUAGGAGCUCCUGCUGCAUGGUGGUGGUUGGUAAGUUUCGGCGGUUGGGGAUGGACUCGCGGCUUAUCAGCUUGUUGGUGGGGUAGUGGCUUACCAAGGCUUUGACGGGUAGCCGGCCUGAGCGGGUGACCGGCCACAUUGGGACUGAGAUACGGCCCAAACUCCUACGGGAGGCAGCAGUGGGGAAUAUUGCACAAUGGGCGGAAGCCUGAUGCAGCAACGCCGCGUGCGGGAUGACGGCCUUCGGGUUGUAAACCGCUUUCGCCUGUGACGAAGCGUGAGUGACGGUAAUGGGUAAAGAAGCACCGGCUAACUACGUG
rnacentral:rRNA from 1 species